UUUUUACGGGAUGGAGGCCCGUCGGUCUUG
rnacentral:tRNA from 1 species